rnacentral:rRNA from 1 species
CAUGCAGUCGACGGCAGCACAGGGGAGCUUGCUCCCUGGGUGGCGAGUGGCGGACGGGUGAGGAAUACAUCGGAAUCUGCCUAUUUGUGGGGGAUAACCUCGGGAAACCGGGACUAAUACCGCAUACGACCUACGGGUGAAAGCAGGGGACCUUCGGGCCUUGCGCAGAUAGAUGAGCCGAUGUCGGAUUAGCUAGUUGGAGGGGUAAUGGCCCACCAAGGCGACGAUCCGUAGCAGGUCUGAGAGGAUGAUCAGCCACACUGGGACUGAGACACGGCCCAGACUCCUACGGGAGGCAGCAGUGGGGAAUAUUGGACAAUGGGCGAAAGCCUGAUCCAGCCAUGCCGCGUGAGUGAAGAAGGCCUUCGGGUUGUAAAGCUCUUUUGUUGGGAAAGAAAAGCAGCCGGUUAAUACCCGGUUGUUCUGACGGUACCCAAAGAAUAAGCACCGGCUAACUUCGUGCCCAG